rnacentral:rRNA from 1 species
GCAAGUCGAACGCUCUCUUCGGAGAGAGUGGCAGACGGGUGAGUAACACGUGGGAAUCUACCCAACUCUACGGAACAACAGUUAGAAAUGACUGCUAAUACCGUAUACGCCCUUCGGGGGAAAGAUUUAUCGGAGAUAGAUGAGCCCGCGUUUGAUUAGCUAGUUGGUGAGGUAAUGGCUCACCAAGGCGACGAUCAAUAGCUGGUCUGAGAGGAUGAUC